rnacentral:lncRNA from 1 species
AUAAUUACAAAUCCCUAAUAGGGUCUAUGAUGAUCAACAGACUCCUCAAGUUGCCAAAAAUAUGAAUUUAAGCCAACAAUGCAUAAAUCAUCCCUUGUGCACCUAUUAGCCACCGUUUUAAUGACAAUAUGCAAUUAAAAUAGUCAUUUGUGCAUACACUAGCAAUGUCAACCACUUGUAUCCCCUUUUAGCCUUUCCAAAAUGGUCAAGUUCACAUGAAAUAUAAGAUCUUUCUAAAUGAAAACCAUGGUUCUGGACGGAUAACUAAUAACGGUGUAUCUAAUUAUACUACAUCUUCUUU